AAACAGGUGCUAAUACCGUAUAACAACAAAAUCCGCAUGGAUUUUGUUUGAAAGGUGGCUUCGGCUAUCACUUCUGGAUGAUCCCGCGGCGUAUUAGUUAGUUGGUGAGGUAAAGGCCCACCAAGACGAUGAUACGUAGCCGACCUGAGAGGGUAAUCGGCCACAUUGGGACUGAGACACGGCCCAAACUCCUACGGGAGGCAGCAGUAGGGAAUCUUCCACAAUGGACGAAAGUCUGAUGGAGCAAUGCCGCGUGAGUGAAGAAGGGUUUCGGCUCGUAAAACUCUGUUGUUAAAGAAGAACACCUUUGAGAGUAACUGUUCAAGGGUUGACGGUAUUUAACCAGAAAGCCACGGCUAACUACGUGCCAGCAGCCGCGGUAAUACGUAGGUGGCAAGCGUUGUCCGGAUUUAUUGGGCGUAAAGCGAGCGCAGGCGGUUUUUUAAGUCUGAUGUGAAAGCCUUCGGCUUAACCGGAGAAGUGCAUCGGAAACUGGGAGACUUGAGUGCAGAAGAGGACAGUGGAACUCCAUGUGUAGCGGUGGAAUGCGUAGAUAUAUGGAAGAACACCAGUGGCGAAGGCGGCUGUCUAGUCUGUAACUGACGCUGAGGCUCGAAAGCAUGGGUAGCGAACAGGAUUAGAUACCCUGGUAGUCCAUGCCGUAAACGAUGAGUGCUAAGUGUUGGAGGGUUUCCGCCCUUCAGUGCUGCAGCUAACGCAUUAAGCACUCCGCCUGGGGAGUACGACCGCAAGGUUGAAACUCAAAGGAAUUGACGGGGGCCCGCACAAGCGGUGGAGCAUGUGGUUUAAUUCGAAGCUACGCGAAGAACCUUACCAGGUCUUGACAUCUUCUGCCAAUCUUAGAGAUAAGACGUUCCCUUCGGGGACAGAAUGACAGGUGGUGCAUGGUUGUCGUCAGCUCGUGUCGUGAGAUGUUGGGUUAAGUCCCGCAACGAGCGCAACCCUUAUUAUCAGUUGCCAGCAUUCAGUUGGGCACUCUGGUGAGACUGCCGGUGACAAACCGGAGGAAGGUGGGGAUGACGUCAAAUCAUCAUGCCCCUUAUGACCUGGGCUACACACGUGCUACAAUGGACGGUACAACGAGUUGCGAAGUCGUGAGGCUAAGC
rnacentral:rRNA from 1 species